rnacentral:rRNA from 1 species
AUGUCUACCUGCCUCACUGACAUGAUUAAUGCCAAUGGGGUGGAUUUCCUUGGGCUGCAAGAAACUAUGAAAAGCGAGUAUACUCCUUCCUUUUUCAGGAAGGUAGAUCCAAAUCAAAAAUUUCAUUGGGAGUGGAAUCCUUCUGGGGAAUCUGGAGGCAUCCUUUGCGGUAUAAAUAAAGAUAAGUUUGAUAUCCUAGGGACAAAACAUGGGAAAUUCAUUCUUCAAAUUGACCUUUUUGACAAGAUCAAAAAGAGUAAAUGGGCCUUGAUGGUAGUUUAUGGUGCUGCUCAUGAUGAGCACAAACCUGAGUUUAUAGCAGAAAUGUCCUCUUUGUACCAUAAUACCCUCACACCUUACUUGAUAGGAGGGGACUUUAAUAUUUUGUGGCAUAGCGGAGAGAAAAACAAAAAAACUCCCAUGUCCCAUUUCUCUGAUGUAUUCAACUCUGUCAUCCACCUUUUAGGAUUGAGAGAGAUUAAUAUGACAGGGGGUUGUUACACUUGGUCCAACAAACAAGAUAAUCCUACCUUAGAAAAAUUGGAUAGGGUGAUGAUGUCAUUUGAUUGGGAGGAUUUAUAUCCUCUCGUUUCUGUUCAUAAGAUGGUCAAGGAAAAUUCUGAUCAUAAUCCUCUUUUGCUA